rnacentral:siRNA from 1 species
UCAUUCUACAAUAAAUUAUGGUU